rnacentral:rRNA from 1 species
UACGAAGGGGGCUAGCGUUGCUCGGAAUCACUGGGCGUAAAGGGUGCGUAGGCGGGUCUUUAAGUCAGGGGUGAAAUCCUGGAGCUCAACUCCAGAACUGCCUUUGAUACUGAAGAUCUUGAGUCCGGGAGAGGUGAGUGGAACUGCGAGUGUAGAGGUGAAAUUCGUAGAUAUUCGCAAGAACACCAGUGGCGAAGGCGGCUCACUGGCCCGGUACUGACGCUGAGGCGCGAAAGCGUGGGGAGCAAACGGG